ensembl:lncRNA
CUCCACAGACAGCCUGAGAGCGGCAGGGGGGAGAGCUCUGUGGGACCCAGCAGCCCCAGCCACGGGACGACAGACGCGCCCGUGCCGGUGCCGCUGUUUUCCAAGGAGGGCGGAGAGCAGCGUUGGGUGGAGGGCACGCGUCUGGAGCCGGGUUUCGUCAGGUGCCCUGCUGGAAAGGGCGGGCUGACUGCAGGCCAGGGGCACAGUGGCUGGAGAGUGGCCCGCCCGGGCGUGUGUGGGUGAUCUCGGCGAGUGAGCGGCAGCCAGGCCCCCGCCUGCAGGGCACUUCUGCCCCUGACGCUCCAGUUCACGCAGCAGUUCUCGCUGGGAUCACAGACGAAGAAGCAGGGGCAGCCCGGCGGCAGCGCUGGCCUUUCUGAUGGCAGCUGCAGCAGCCUGGAGUCCAGGAGUCACAUGACUUUAAGUAAUGCCCUCAAUCACAGGAGAGGGAGGUUGUGCAGCUCACCCGCUGGGAGUUGUGUGAUCACUGAAGAAUCCCCAGGCGGAUGGAUGAGAGCAGCCUGGGAGAAGGCGCCCCCUUCCUUACCUGGGCCUGUGGGGACCGAGAGCUGCCCCCUGGGACAGCGCCGAGCGGGCCCAGUGUUAACUGCCUUGCGGUCCUCCACGUGGCUAAUUUGGAGGCCCCGGCUGAACUUUUUCUGUUGUUGCUAUCCGUUUCCCACCACAGAUGUGUUACCUUAAAGUGCUGUGGGCCAGAAGUCUGAGGCUGAAGGCAGAAUGAGGACUUUGAAGUUGCUCUGAUGACAAAGAGCAAUGCCACAGGCAGAUCUAUGAACCGCAACCGUCUCUAAUGCUGGUGAUGGUGGGGCCUCUCAGCUCAAGAGGACGAACAGAGGGCACAGAGACUGGGAUGACAAAAUGCUUGUCCAGUGACGAGGUGAAAAGGAUCCUUUUGGGUUUCCAUACCAACAAUGCAUUUAUACGAAUAAUCAACUUGGAAAGACACUGGAAAGCCAUUGUCUCACGAGAUAUGAUCAAAUAGAUGAACAGCCAUGAUGUCUACCUGCAGUCCACUGACAUACAGAAGAGAACAUUUGAGAGCUUCCACGGUUCACUAGGUUUGGUUUCCCAUGCUUCAGGGAGGUAGGCUGACUAAAUGCAGUGUUUGCAGGCAAAUCCAUCACUGGUAGUGAGGUAUCUACAGGCCACCAAGUUCAGUAGCUGUGUGACCUGGGUCCCAAAUGGAAAGGGGAGUAAGGGACUGGGGAGGGGUAGAAGGCUGGAGUCCUAACUUCGGAGCUCAGACUCUUCAUUCUCUCCCCCGAAGACGAUAAGUCCUCCUGGGUUCUGUUUAGUGGGGACAAAGCCAAGUUAGCCACACAUAAUUCUGCCUGUGUUUCACAGGCCUCCAUGCUUCCUUCCACUCUUAAAUUUUCAAAGGGAGGGGGAAGCAUGUUUAGUUGCUUAAUAUUUCUGUAUAUCUUAAAGGCCCCUUCAUAUUUAUCAUCAGAGACACACCAAAGCACAUUACAAGUAAUGUAAGCCAGCUGGUGCCUAGCAGGCCAAAAUCAGUUGAUGGUUUAAUAGUAAAAAACAUCUUUUUGUUAACAUUUUUCUGGAGCACAUCACCAAAGAAUGCAUGGCCCCUUUCUGCAUUUUACAGAAAAGAACUGUCUCGCUAGCUCUGUCUUCAGGUGUUGAAUGCUUGUGGGGUGUGCACCAUUGACACGGCUUCUCUGAGAACAUUUGGCGGAUCUAUCUAAUGCAUCUUCCAAGCACCAGCGAAACUCCUCCCUCUGUGAUGGGUUUGUGAGGUCUCCACACACUGCCUGCCUAGGGCACACUUAGUAAACUUGCCUAAGUUUAGAGGAAAUUCCUUCCUGGGAACAGAAACUUAGCUGGUGCGUCUUCUGCUCUGGGCAAGCACUAGUGAUGGAUAAAAUAAUUCAGAAUGACUACGAAGAGAUUUGGGAUUUUUGCUGUUUCCUUUUGUGUUGAUUCUGUCUGAGUCACAAUUCAUGCAUUAAUUCAUCAGGGGUGGCCACUGAAUUUCAAAGGACGGCCCAAAGGGGUAAAUUACCCUUGCUCACAAGCUGCUCACCAAUACCCCCAGCCCCGUGACCCUUUCUGUGCUUACAUCUUUACACAGAGUGCCCCAGCUCAGGGCCUGUCUCCAGAAUUUCUCCCCCCAAGGAGCCUGCUCUAUGCAUCUUUACUGCGAUACACCGCUACUCUAGGCUAGUUUUCAGGGAAAUGCACAAAAUUUCAUUGUCACAGUAUUAUCAGUGCGAUACUUAAAAUUCAAGGACUGUUCCAAAUUACUCUGUACAUCGAGCGGCCUUUAGCCACCAUGGCAGCUGGGACAUAAUUCCAAAAUGUGAUUACAUCUCCACUUCGAAUGCCAUGGGAAGUUCCUGUAUGCUCAGAGAAGGAAAGCUGAAUUCAAAAAGAGCUACAAGUGGA